CCUCGAUGUUCUCACAUAUAGAUUAUCUAUAGGUGUGUGUGUGUGUGUAUAUAUCUCACAGUGUACACACAUGUCACAGCAGCAUGCUGUACACCACUAAUAUAUACAAUUUUUAUUUGUCAGUGAUACCUUCAUGAAGCUGGGGGAUGGGGAAUGGGAUUCUUUUGCUUCCAGUUUCAGCCCCGGCCUCAAGAUAGUGAGUGUCAGCUACAACCACAUUCCAUGCAAGAUGCAGGGCCUAUGAGGGACUUUGGAGGGAAGUGGUAAAAAGUCAAUUCCACCACUCCUGCCCCCUGUCAACCUUCUUAGCAAAAGCUACAAAUUCAGAUUUACCCUGAGGCCCGCACAAACUGCAGGAGGAGAAAUGUGAUGAAGUCAGUGCUUUCUCAUGUGGGACCAGGCACCUUCAUGUCUGAAGCAAGGUCUUACUACUUCAAGAAGUGACCGGAGGACUUGUGUAAUUCAGGAGUGACUGUAAAAGUUAUGAGGACUGGCAGAAGAUUUCAUCCACGGUGGCGGGAGAGAGAUAGCUCACGAAGCAGAUGGAGAGGCGCGCAGGUAUCACAGGGCACGCAGCUCAUUCCUCCUGGGAGUCUGUUCCUUAAAUAGCAGGCACUGGUCUAAGCCCUUUAUAAAUCUGAGUGUGAUUAAUCCUCUUACCAGUGCAGUGAGAUUUUAUUAUUAUUUCCAUUUUACUGAUAAGGAAACCUAGACAAGUAUAACGGAGUUUGGGGCGGUCACCGAGAUUACACAUCUGGUGUGACACCAUGAUGACAUCUGAGCUCAUACACUCCGGCUAUACGGCUACCACAGAGAGGACACAAUAUUCCAGAAUCCUGCAGGAAAGACUCCGCCAUCCUCUGCAGCUGCUCCCACCACAGUGCUCCCCACCACUGGAAAAGAUACCCUCACUGACUGGGGUGUUGGGCUAGCAGACACAUCAUCAAGCUGGGUGAGGCCAGAGGACUUUCCUAGAAAAGGGAAUAUUCUGGCCGGGCGCGGUGGCUCAAGCCUGUAAUCCCAGCACUUUGGGAGGCCCAGGCGGGUGGAUCACGAGGUCAAGAGAUCGAGACCAUCCUGGUCAACAUGGUGAAACCCCGUCUCUACUAAAAAUACAAAAAAUUAGCUGGGC
rnacentral:lncRNA from 1 species